rnacentral:lncRNA from 1 species
AUGCUGGGUGUCGGGUCACUAAACAGGCCGGCUCUGUGUACUCUCCCGGCCCUCGUCGCCCUCCCUCGCUGGUGUCUGUCAAGGUGUCUUGUUCUCCCCGGCGUCCCCUCGAGCGCCCCCAGCCCAGCGGCUCUGCGGACUGUCCCGAAGUCCUGGAACCCGCGGGACGGUCAGAGGCUUUGGCGGCCAGAUGUUAGGGGAAGUGUCCGCGCUCUCCGCCGCCCCUGGGCACCCUGGCGCGCGAGCCGGCCACCGAGGGAGCCAGAGCCAUUUGAGAUAGAACUGGGAACAGGAAGCCCACUGUCUCAGAGGACUGGAUCAACAAUGGUGCUCCCCAAGUACCUGAAGGCUGCAGGAUCUCAGGGCAGUGAGGGAGAGGAAGGAAAGAACCAACGCCCUUUGUGCUCCAGGCCUGGGAUCAGAACUCAGCAGCAUCUCUUCGAGCUCUUUAAGAAGGAUUUGUUCAUUCCAGAGCCACAAUGA